GACAGAGGGUGCAAACGUUGCUCGGAAUUACUGGGCGUAAAGCGCACGUAGGUGGUUUGUUAAGUCGGGUGUGAAAGCCCUGGGCUCAACCCAGGAAGUGCACUCGAAACUGGCAGACUUGAGUACUGAAGAGGGUCGCGGAAUUCCCGGUGUAGAGGUGAAAUUCGUAGAUAUCGGGAGGAACACCAGUGGCGAAGGCGGCGACCUGGGCAGAUACUGACACUGAGGUGCGAAAGCGUGGGGAGCAAACAGGG
rnacentral:rRNA from 1 species